AAAGAAAAGAAAAAAAGAAAAAAAAAGAGCACCACCCAAUCUAUCAGGGGUCUGAAGGUUACAGAUAGAUGGAUGGAGUCGAUAAAGGUCACGAGGGGCGGCAGCACCAGACACAAGGCAGACAACAGUGCCCGAGGUCCAUGAUGGGUUUGCCUUCUGGUCACACCGGAUUUUUAAUAUCUCUGCUACAAAUGAAGAGGAAUGCAACUAGUAGUUCCAUUCGUCAAGUUUCCAAGAAUUCAUGGAGUUCAGGGCAAUUAGUUUCAUUUGUGUGUCCCUUUUGACUUCACUGCCCCCACUGACCGGUCAUCUCCAGGCCCCUCCCCUUUGACCCUGAAGAGGGUUCAGGAAUGUCCUGUUAUUUUGCAUUCGGAGCUUCAGUGAUGCCCAUGAUAGAACACCAGCUGAUGGGCACCUCCACUGGUCCAGAGAUGUCAUCGCUCAGACCUUCAAAUAAUUCCGGGUAUGCAGCCCUCACUCGCUCCAUUACAACACGGAUGCGUCAGAGAAAACAUAACUAGAAGGGCCGACAGUAAAAUCCAGACAGAGUUUGACCCCAAAUUUGGGAUUCACAGGGAAGCUGAAGCCCCCAGGAGCAUCGGGCACAAAGAGAGAACCAGCCCUGGACUGGACGGCAGACCACUGCAGGGCCAAUGGAGAGCUGCCAACUAAACGGAUACACUGGAAGAACACGUGAACGGCGCACCAGGGCCAGCUCUGCCACUUAGACGAGCUAGGUGGUCACCUAGGGUGGCACUUUUACUAAACAACAUCUGACUUAUGAACUCUCAGAUUCAACGCAACUGUCCAACUGUUUUGUUUUCUAGUUCUAUUUUUCGCAUAUGUUUGGUCUUAGCAUCUGACAACUUACGUGCCAUUUUCCAGAUUUCAGGAUGCACAGAUUCUGAUGCUCUGCUCCUCAGCUUCUGUGCAUUUCUUUAUUGGCAGGUUUGUGGCUUUAGUUUUGUUCUCUUGAGCGCCGAUAACAUAAAUAAUAAUCUGACAAUUACCUGCACAACAACAUCAACGAUAAUAAUAAUCCUAAAAGUGAGUAGCCAGGCGAGGAUCUAUCAUUAGGGUGUUUUGGGUUGAGAACCACAGAGGUCCUGGCAGUGCCCUUAAAUCCAAAAGGUGUUGACAUCCAUAAUUUAACACCCCUAAGCAACAACUUCUCUAUCUAUCUACUGUAUCUAGAUAAACAAAUAAAUUCUUUGCAUUUAUAUAGCA